GUCUGUGGCCCUGCCAUCCCGAUGGUGUGAGAUCACAUCCGGUCUCGGAAGCUAAGCAGGGUCGGGCCUGGUUAGUACUUGGAUGGGAGACCGACCACCUGGGAAGACCAGGUGCUGUAGGCG
rnacentral:rRNA from 1 species